GACGAACGCUGGCGGCGUGCUUAACACAUGCAAGUCGAACGGACAGGCCCUGCUUUUGUUGGGUUCUCGAUUGGCGCACGGGUGAGUAACACAUGAGUAUCAUGCCCCUAUCUGUCUGAUAACUUCUGGGAACAGCGGAGCAUACCGGGGAUGAGCUCCUGCUGCGUGGUGUUGGUUGGAAAAAUUCGGCGGUUGGGGCUGGACUCGAGGCUUAUCAGCUUGUUUGGGUGGUAGUGGCUUACCAAGGCUUUGAAGGGUAGCCGGCCUGGGAGGGUGACCGGCGACAUUGGGACUGCGAGACGGCCCAGACUCCUACGGGAGGCAGCAGUGGGGAAUCUUGCACAAUGGGCGGAAGCCUGAUGCAGCAACGCCGCGUGCGGGAUGACGGCCUUCGGGUUGUAAACCGCUUUCGCCUGUGACGAAGCGUGAGUGACGGUAAUGGGUAAAGAAGCACCGGCUAACUACGUG
rnacentral:rRNA from 1 species